rnacentral:rRNA from 1 species
UACGGGGGGGGCAAGCGUUGUUCGGAAUUACUGGGCGUAAAGGGCUUGUAGGCGGCCAACUAAGUCAUACGUGAAAUCCCUCGGCUUAACCGGGGAACUGCGUCCGAUACUGGCAGGCUUGAAUUCGGGAGAGGGAUGCGGAAUUCCAGGUGUAGCGGUGAAAUGCGUAGAUAUCUGGAGGAACACCGGUGGCGAAGGCGGCAUCCUGGACCGAGAUUGACGCUGAGGCGCGAAAGCCAGGGGAGCAAACGGG